UGGGGAAUAUUGCACAAUGGGCGCAAGCCUGAUGCAGCAACGCCGCGUGAGGGAUGACGGCCUUCGGGCUUGUAAAACCUCUUUUAGUAGGGAAGAAGCGAAAGUGACGGUACCUGCAGAAAAAGCACCGGCUAACUACGUGCCAGCAGCCGCGGUAAUACGUAGGGUGCGAGCGUUGUCCGGAAUUAUUGGGCGUAAAGAGCUCGUAGGCGGUCUGUCGCGUCUGCUGUGAAAAUCCCGAGGCUCAACCUCGGGCCUGCAGUGGGUACGGGCAGACUAGAGUGCGGUAGGGGAGAAUGGAAUUCCUGGUGUAGCGGUGGAAUGCGCAGAUAUCAGGAGGAACACCGAUGGCGAAGGCAGUUCUCUGGGCCGUAACUGACGCUGAGGAGCGAAAGCGUGGGGAGCGAACAGGAUUAGAUACCCUGGUAGUCCACGCCGUAAACGUUGGGCGCUAGAUGUGGGGACCAUUCCACGGUUUCCGUGUCGCAGCUAACGCAUUAAGCGCCCCGCCUGGGGAGUACGGCCGCAAGGCU
rnacentral:rRNA from 1 species